AGCCAUGGGAGAGAAGAAAGAAGAAGGCGAUUAGGGUUAGGGAGGAUCGGUUUAAUAAUUUCACCACACACUUGUGGACUCUCAUUCAUUGAAUAUUUAUAGGAUACAAAUACAAGUUAUAAUACAAUAAGAUUUACACAAAUCCCUAACUUGUAGGAGAGCUAACUAAUUUAUAUUUAUCUAGGAUUCUAUCAUGAUCUUCAAUAUUAUCUCUAAUA
rnacentral:lncRNA from 1 species